rnacentral:rRNA from 1 species
CACGUAGGGCGCAAGCGUUGUCCGGAAUUAUUGGGCGUAAAGAGCUCGUAGGCGGUCUGUUGCGUCUGCUGUAAAAACUCGGGGCUUAACCCCGAGCCUGCAGUGGAUACGGGCAGACUAGAGGUAGGUAGGGGAGAAUGGAAUUCCCGGUGUAGCGGUGAAAUGCGCAGAUAUCGGGAGGAACACCGGUGGCGAAGGCGGUUCUCUGGGCCUUACCUGACGCUGAGGAGCGAAAGCGUGGGGAGCGAACAGG